rnacentral:lncRNA from 1 species
AUCAAGUAUUUCGGUUCCUAGUCACCAGCGAACUAGAGAUCCUACAGGGAUCACUGGAUGCAAACGGAUGUAUGGGAGGCCCUCUACGAUCAGUGGAACAGUGAGGACUACUCCACUAGGUGGUAGAGGGCCCGAUAGAAUCGAACCACCCAAUAGAAUUCGAUCAAGCACAUGGGCGACACUAUCGACACACAUGUUGUGGCCGAC